GUGCACCAGUCGAGAAUUUUUCUCAAUGGGGGCAACCCUGAAGGAGCGACGCCGCGUGGAGGAUGAAGGCUUUCGGGUUGUAAACUCCUGUCAUUUGGGAACAAGUUGGACGCAGUAACUACGCGUCCAUUGAUAGUACCAGAAGAGGAAGGGACGGCUAACUCUGUGCCAGCAGCCGCGGUAAUACAGAGGUCCCAAGCGUUGUUCGGAUUCAUUGGGCGUAAAGGGUGCGUAGGUGGCGCCGUAAGUGGGGUGUGAAAUUUCGGAGCUUAACUCCGAAACUGCAUUCCAUACUGCGGUGCUUGAGGACUGGAGAGGAGACUGGAAUUCAUGGUGUAGCAGUGAAAUGCGUAGAGAUCAUGAGGAAGACCAGUGGCGAAGGCGGGUCUCUGGACAGUUCCUGACACCUGAGGCACGAAGGCCAGGGGGGCAAACGGGAUUAGAUACCCGGGUAGU
rnacentral:rRNA from 1 species